UCAAUAGUAGAGUCUAGAGGUAGAUAUGACACAGUCCCAGAUCAAUAGUAUUGUCUAGAGGUAGAUAUAACACAGUCCCAGAUCAAUAGUAUUGUCUAGAGGUAGAUAUAACACAGUCCCAGAUCAAUAGUAGUGUCUAGAGGUAGAUAUAACACAGUCCCAGAUCAAUAGUAGUAGUAGUGUCUAGAGGUAGAUAUAACACAGUCCCAGAUCAAUAGUAUUGUCUAGAGGUAGAUAUAACACAGUCCCAGAUCAAUAGUAUUGUCUAGAGGUAGAUAUAACACAGUCCCAGAUCAAUAGUAGUGUCUAGAGGUAGAUAUAACACAGUCCCAGAUCAAUAGUAUUGUCUAGAGGUAGAUAUAACACAGUCCCAGAUCAAUAGUAUUGUCUAGAGGUAGAUAUAACACAGUCCCAGAUCAAUAGUAUUGUCUAGAGGUAGAUAUAACACAGUCCCAGAUCAAUAGUAUUGUCUAGAGGUAGAUAUAACACAGUCCCAGAUCAAUAGUAGUGUCUAGAGGUAGAUAUAACACAGUCCCAGAUCAAUAGUAGUGUCUAGAGGUAGAUAUAACACAGUCCCAGAUCAAUAGUAGUGUCUAGAGGUAGAUAUAACACAGUCCCAGAUCAAUAGUAGUGUCUAGAGGUAGAUAUAACACAGUCCCAGAUCAAUAGUAGUGUCUAGAGGUAGAUAUAACACAGUCCCAGAUCAAUAGUAGUGUCUAGAGGUAGAUAUAACACAGUCCCAGAUCAAUAGUAGUGUCUAGAGGUAGAUAUAACACAGUCCCAGAUCAAUAGUAGUGUCUAGAGGUA